GCCGACGUCUUCCGUCGUCACGCGCGCUGUCGCUGUGACGACGGACGACGCGGAAAUGUGGCUGCGCGCGCAUUGGGGUCGUUACGACCAAUCGUGGCGGCGCGUGACGUCACAUAGCGCGAUCAAGUGGGAGGCUGCCGAGACGGAGGCGGGCGGUCGCAUCCUAGUCCCUCGAGCUCCGACCAUGAAGCCCCGGUCACCUUCGGAGGAGCAUCACGGGAAAAGACCCCGAGUGCCCCCCGCGGCGGCAUCCACGUCGCCGCAGGACGCAAUGGAAGACACGCCGCCCUCGCCUCUGACUUCGAAUCUGAAUCCGCGGGAACUCACCCAAAAUCCCCUCAAGAAGAUUUGGAUGCCGUGUAAAAAUGGCCUGCCUGAGAGGCACAUUUCUCAAAGGAAGGUAUGUAUGACCAACUGCCCUACCCUGAUCGUGACGGUGGGCCUUCCUGCCAGGGGGAAGACCUACAUCUCCAAGAAGCUGACUCGCUACCUCAACUGGAUCGGGGUUCCCACCAGAGAGUUCAACGUAGGACAGUACAGGAGAGAGUGUGUGAAGAUCUACAAAUCCUUUGAGUUCUUCCGUCCAGACAAUGAGGAAGGAUUAGAGAUCAGAAGACAAUGCGCUUCGGCCGCUCUAAACGAUGUACGGCAGUACCUCGCGGAAGGAGGAGGCCAAGUUGCGGUUUUUGACGCGACAAAUACCACCAGAGAGAGGAGGGAAACCAUCAUCGAGUUUGCGGAGCAGAAUGGCCUCAAGGUGUUCUUUGUGGAGUCUGUGUGCGAAGACCCCGAUGUGAUCCAGGAGAAUAUCGUGCAAGUGAAGCUGGGCAGCCCCGACUACACAAAUUGCAACACCGAGGAGGCGGUGGAAGACUUCAUGAGGAGGAUCAAAUGUUAUGAAAACUCGUAUGAAACUCUGGAUGAGGUCUUGGACAGGGAGCUCUCCUACAUCAAAAUUAUGGACGUGGGUCAGCGCUACUUGGUCAACCGGGUCUUGGACCACAUCCAGAGUCGGAUCGUCUACUAUCUCAUGAACAUCCACAUCACGCCUCGCUCCAUCUACCUGUGCCGCCAUGGCGAGAGCGAGCUCAACGUCAAGGGUCGCAUCGGGGGGGACUCGGGGCUCACGGCCAGAGGCAAAGAGUUUGCCAAGAAGCUGGCCCACUUCAUCCGGGCUCAGGGCAUCAACCGGCUGAAGGUGUGGACCAGUCAAAUGAAGAGAACCAUCCAGACGGCCGAAGCUCUCGACGUGCCCUACGAGCAGUGGAAGGUCCUCAACGAGAUUGACGCCGGUGUAUGUGAAGAGAUGAUGUAUGAAGCGAUUCAAGAGCACUACCCUCUGGAGUUUGCACUGCGGGACCAGGACAAGUACCGUUACCGCUACCCGAAAGGAGAGUCCUACGAGGACCUGGUGCAGCGGCUGGAGCCGGUCAUCAUGGAGCUGGAGAGGCAGGAGAACGUGCUGGUCAUCUGUCACCAGGCCGUCAUGCGCUGCCUGCUGGCCUACUUCCUGGACAAGACCGCAGCACCACGUCCCGUGAUGGUCUUUGUGUCUGUUUGCACCCAGAGGAGCUGCCCUACCUCAAGUGUCCGCUGCACACCGUGCUGAAGCUCACGCCGGUGGCCUACGGGUGUAAGGUGGAGUCCAUCAGCCUCAACGUAGACGCCGUCAACACGCACAGAGAGAAACCAGAGAACGUGGAGGUGUCGCGGAUGUCGGAGGAGGCUCUGCUUACCGUGCCGGCCCACCAAUGAGGCGGCGCACCUCCACGGGGCCUCGUUCGCGCAACCCGCCCCGCCUCUUUGCUCUCCGCCGUCCGCGCUGCCUGCACUGCACUCGCGUGUCCGCUCGCGGGUGACGCCAUCGAUGAUCGCUGACUGGCAUCCAGUUCACUCUUGAUUAUUUCUGAAAAUAUGACGCGGAGCUCGUUGUUGUCGUGCGCACGCUCCCAUUUGGGGAGAACAAAUGAAGGGACUGCUGUGCGCAUGUGAAGUUUUGUCCCAUGAAGUUUUUCCUUCUUUUCUUUUCCCCUCACCACUUUGAACCGAUGUAACGCUGUUAGUUUGUUUUUGUUUAACGCAAAGCUACUUGUACUUUUACAGCAUUGCACAUUGUCUGUUUCAAAUUCUUACACAAGUGCGUAGAAUGUCUCAAGUGAAAAUCAUGGAAGUCUCGCUCCGCUUUUUGACGGUGUCGUUUUUUCCUCCAGUCACAGACCUGACGGAAAAAGAUGUGUUGUUCCUAAAUAAACUCCCUUCACUCAA